CAGGUCUUCUCAGGCCUGUAUCUUGAUCUACACAAACUAAAAUCUCAAAGAUGGUGUCCAUACCUCAGUUCUUUGGACUUCUGCUUUUCUGGAUUUCGGCCUCCAGAGGAGACAUUGUGCUGACUCAGUCUCUAGCCAUCCUGUCUGUAAAUCCAGGAGAUAAAGUCACUAUUUCCUACAGGGCCAGCCAGAGUAUUAACAAGAACCUACACUGGUAUCAACAAAAAUCACAGAAGUCUCCAAGGCUUCUCAUCAAGUAUGCUUCUGAGUCCAUCUCUUGGAUUCCCUCGAGGUUCAGUGGUGGUGGAUCAGGGACAGAUUUCACUCUCAGUAUCAACAGUGUGGAUCCUGAAGAUUUUUCAGUUUAUUAUUGUCAACAGAGUAACAACUUUCCUCCCACAGUGAUGCAGAGCAUAGCAAAAUCCACCAAGAAAGCAGAAGUGUAAGGCUGGGCUUCUUUAGCUGUUCUUGGUGGAGCCUCAGCCUAUUUCAAAGUGUUUCACAGAUGGAGCCACGUUUGAGGUUUACAGAAAUGUGUGAAAUAAAGAAGCUUCAAAGACCCCUUGUACCUGAUUUCACUUUACCCUAUUUUAGCACUAGAGUACAUAGCCUACAAUUGUCCUGAUAUAAACCGACAAUCUUCUGCCCAUGUCCUACAAUCAGAGAAAAUCUCAUCCUUGACAGACAGAAGAAAUGAUUGAUUAUUCCAUAUCUUUAUAGUUGUUGGAAAUUCA